rnacentral:rRNA from 1 species
CCGUUCUCAGUUCGGAUCGGAGUCUGCAACCCGACUCCGUGAAGCUGGAUUCGCUAGUAAUCGCGCAUCAGCCAUGGCGCGGUGAAUACGUUCCCGGGCCUUGUACACACCGCCCGUCAAGCCAUGGGAGCCGGGGGUGCUUGAAGUGCGUCGCCGCAAGGCGCGCCCUAGAGCAAAACCGGUGACUGGGGCUAAGUCGUAACAAGGUAAC